GCCAAUAAAAAGAACAAAAACACAAAAGUCUAAUAAAAAUAAAACUUCCCCCUACACAUAUAUUAAUUUCAGGUUUCUUCUGAACAUGAAGGGUUCCUGGUAAUUGUUAUCUCAUCAGGCAAGGAUUGCAUUGACAUGGUGCUAUCUUCACCAGAGGGCGUUGUUAAUGAGCUAAAAGACAAACUAACCACUAAAGGACGCGAUUUUGGCAAGUUCAUUAUGGGUUCAUCAGGAUUCAAAAACAGCUGAGAAAUUUUUCUCAUAGUUGGCCGAAAUUUAGACCCUGGAUGCAAACAAGCAAGUCCAACCAUUAGAGUCCUUCUCACUUGAUUCGGGUCAUAUUUUCCAUACAAACUCUGAUCAACGCAGCUCAGAAGCUCGUCCUUUUCGUGCAGUUCCCAUACAUAAUCCACAAGGCUGUUCUCAUCCAUUAUCCCUUUCGAUCUUUUUCCACAAACAACCUCUACAACCACCAUUCCAAAGCUAUAUACAUCGGAUUCAGGUGUUGCCCUACCCGUGUAACUUACUUCUGGUGCUAGGUACCCUAUCGUCCCAGCAACCAUUGUCGUGACCGAUGUAUCAUUAUGGAUCAACCUAGCCAGACCAAAAUCACCUAAAUGUGCAUUGAAGUGGGAAUCUAACAUUAUGUUGUUUGGCUUUACAUCACGGUGAACAACCGGGCUACCACAUUCUUCGUGAAGGUAGACUAAUACCGAGGCUAAACCUGCUAGAAUGUUGUAACGUUGUUCCCAGUUGAGCAUUGGUUUCCCAAUGUACUUAUCGAGGCUACCAUUAGGCAUGUACUCAUAGACAAGAAGGAGUUGAUCACGAUCGUGACACCAACCUUCUAAUUGUACCAAGUUUUUGUGCCUUAAUCGUCCAAUCGUGCAGAUCUCAGCCAAAUACUCUUUCUCGCCUACAAAAUAAACUAAAAGUUAUACAUGUAUAUACAUAUACAACACGAAGAAAGCCGGCAUACCUUGAGAAAAACCUAUAAUAUAUACACACGAGGAACUAGUUAUUGUGAAACAUGUAUUAAAGUAAAACAAAUAGGAUAAAAUCUUGACCAUUGUAUACACUGAUGCACAAAGAGUUUCAUGAUGUAGAACGGUUUUCGGUUAAUUAAAUUUUAUUGUUUUUUUUUUGUUAUUCUAUAAUACUUGUUUUAUUUGAACCAGAAGCCAAACACAUAUAUAGGAUUUUAUGCUGCAAAGUACUACUGAUAUGUUGGGCAAACCUUGAGUUGAUGUUGCAGAAACCUUUUUGACAGCUAUUAUUUUCAAAGGAUUCGAUAAAUGACCUUUGUAAACGCUUCCAAAACCACCCGUUCCUACCUAAUUGCUCUUAUGGCAAGUGGAAGAAUAGCCACGAUCAAAAGCAAAAGCGCGAACAGUACAGGAACAAUGAUCAGCAAUAGGAUCUUCAUUUUGCCUCUGCCAACACCUGAUUUGAGUGAUUUUUCAGGCAGAUCAUAUGAUGUGAAAUUCCAGCUAACAAUAUGAUGAGAUUGAUGUUUACUGGCGGUUGCACCUGUGAAUCCAAUGAAAACUUGUUUCGGUACAGUUUUUUUCAUGACAAUGUGUUGCUUAAUGAAAUCGAUUAGGGGUUCUCCAGUGUAUGCUACCGAAAUGUGAAGAUUUUUUCCCCAGCCUUCA